AUGAAGAGAGCACUUCAGUAUUCUCCGAGUGCUGGAAUUCCGGAGCUUUUGUCCUGGCUAAAACAGUUACAAAUAAAAUUGCAUAAUCCUCCUACCAUCCAUUACCCACCCAGUCAAGGACAAAUGGACCUAUGUGUCACAUCUGGCAGCCAACAAGGUCUUUGUAAGGUGUUUGAAAUGAUCAUUAACCCUGGAGAUAAUGUCCUCCUAGAUGAACCUGCUUAUUCAGGAACUCUUCAAAGUCUGCACCCACUGGGCUGCAACAUUAUUAAUGUUGCCAGUGAUGAAAGUGGGAUUGUUCCAGAUUCCCUAAGAGACAUACUUUCCAGAUGGAAACCAGAAGAUUCAAAGAAUCCCCAGAAAAACACCCCCAAAUUUCUUUAUACUGUUCCAAAUGGCAACAACCCUACUGGAAACUCAUUAACAAGUGAACGCAAAAAGGAAAUCUAUGAGCUUGCAAGAAAAUAUGAUUUCCUCAUAAUAGAAGAUGAUCCUUACUAUUUUCUCCAGUUUAACAAGGUAAGUGAUGAUGUGAACUUACUUCACUAUUAGAAGAUAAGUUGUAAGUUACUGCACUGUGUUGGGUAUUAGGCUGACUGCUGAGUCAGAACUAAUCUACUUUUACA
rnacentral:sRNA from 1 species